rnacentral:rRNA from 1 species
GCUUCUUUUUCCACCGGAGCUUGCUCCACCGGAAAAAGAAGAGUGGCGAACGGGUGAGUAACACGUGGGUAACCUGCCCAUCAGAAGGGGAUAACACUUGGAAACAGGUGCUAAUACCGUAUAACAAUCGAAACCGCAUGGUUUUGAUUUGAAAGGCGCUUUCGGGUGUCGCUGAUGGAUGGACCCGCGGUGCAUUAGCUAGUUGGUGAGGUAACGGCUCACCAAGGCCACGAUGCAUAGCCGACCUGAGAGGGUGAUCGGCCACAUUGGGACUGAGACACGGCCCAAACUCCUACGGGAGGCAGCAGUAGGGAAUCUUCGGCAAUGGACGAAAGUCUGACCGAGCAACGCCGCGUGAGUGAAGAAGGUUUUCGGAUCGUAAAACUCUGUUGUUAGAGAAGAACAAGGAUGAGAGUAACUGUUCAUCCCUUGACGGUAUCUAACCAGAAAGCCACGGCUAACUACGUGCCAGCAGCCGCGGUAAUACGUAGGUGGCAAGCGUUGUCCGGAUUUAUUGGGCGUAAAGCGAGCGCAGGCGGUUUCUUAAGUCUGAUGUGAAAGCCCCCGGCUCAACCGGGGAGGGUCAUUGGAAACUGGGAGACUUGAGUGCAGAAGAGGAGAGUGGAAUUCCAUGUGUAGCGGUGAAAUGCGUAGAUAUAUGGAGGAACACCAGUGGCGAAGGCGGCUCUCUGGUCUGUAACUGACGCUGAGGCUCGAAAGCGUGGGGAGCAAACAGGAUUAGAUACCCUGGUAGUCCACGCCGUAAACGAUGAGUGCUAAGUGUUGGAGGGUUUCCGCCCUUCAGUGCUGCAGCUAACGCAUUAAGCACUCCGCCUGGGGAGUACGACCGCAAGGUUGAAACUCAAAGGAAUUGACGGGGGCCCGCACAAGCGGUGGAGCAUGUGGUUUAAUUCGAAGCAACGCGAAGAACCUUACCAGGUCUUGACAUCCUUUGACCACUCUAGAGAUAGAGCUUCCCCUUCGGGGGCAAAGUGACAGGUGGUGCAUGGUUGUCGUCAGCUCGUGUCGUGAGAUGUUGGGUUAAGUCCCGCAACGAGCGCAACCCUUAUUGUUAGUUGCCAUCAUUUAGUUGGGCACUCUAGCAAGACUGCCGGUGACAAACCGGAGGAAGGUGGGGAUGACGUCAAAUCAUCAUGCCCCUUAUGACCUGGGCUACACACGUGCUACAAUGGGAAGUACAACGAGUCGCGAAGUCGCGAGGCUAAGCUAAUCUCUUAAAGCUUCUCUCAGUUCGGAUUGUAGGCUGCAACUCGCCUACAUGAAGCCGGAAUCGCUAGUAAUCGCGGAUCAGCACGCCGCGGUGAAUACGUUCCCGGGCCUUGUACACACCGCCCGUCACACCACGAGAGUUUGUAACACCCGAAGUCGGUGAGG